rnacentral:misc_RNA from 1 species
GAUGAAGAACGCAGCGAAAUGCGAUAAGUAAUGUGAAUUGCAGAAUUCAGUGAAUCAUCGAAUCUUUGAACGCACAUUGCGCCCGCCAGCACUCUGGCGGGCAUGCCUGUUCGAGCGUCAUUUCAACCAUCAAGCCCCCAGGGGCUUGUGCUGGGGCCCUGCGGCUGCCCGCAGGCCCUGAAAACCAGUGGCGGGCUCGCUGUAGCACCGAGCGUAGUAGCAUAACCUCGCUCAGGGCGCGACCGCGGGUCCCUGCCGUUAAAGCCCCAUACAUAAACAAGGUUGACCUCGGAUCAGGUAGGAAGACCCGCUGAACUUAAGCAUAUCAAUAAGCGGAGGA